GCCAGCAUGGCAUAGUGGUUUGCUAGCGUCGGACUAUGACUCUGAAGACCAGUGUUCAAUUCCCAGCUCGGCCA